GACAGAGGAUGCAAGCGUUAUCCGGAAUGAUUGGGCGUAAAGCGUCUGUAGGUGGCUUUUUAAGUCCGCCGUCAAAUCCCAGGGCUCAACCCUGGACAGGCGGUGGAAACUACCAAGCUGGAGUACGGUAGGGGCAGAGGGAAUUUCCGGUGGAGCGGUGAAAUGCGUAGAGAUCGGAAAGACCACCAAUGGCGAAGGCACUCUACUGGGCCACUACUGACACUGAGAGACGAAAGCUAGGGGAGCAAAUGGG
rnacentral:rRNA from 1 species